AGGAGGAGGCCUGUGAGGAACACAUAAAUCAUUAGCCCCUCCAACAAGUGCAAAAUACUCAGUUUCCUUGGUGUUGAGUUGGGCUGGGAUGUACUUUGAAGCUCUCAAGGACAGGGAAAUGCUACUCCCUUGGGUUGUUGCAAAACAGCUUUUAAUGGUUGACAGGUAUUUAUAAGAAAGUAAAUAAGGAACUGUCUGGCUUUUCAGGGGAAUAUGUAGUGUGCCUUUGUGAAACCACCAAAUAACAAUUAUGCCCAUGGUUUUUCAAAGAAAACCUUCACUAAGCACUGAAGAGAGGGACAUGGUUUUGUGGGCCUGCAGGAUACAGCUUUCCUUGCAGGAGCACAGGCAAUGAGGCUGUGUUGCCCGUUAUCUGCAGAUGUCAUGAAUUGCAUGGCCCCAGGAUGGCCUAAAGAAAGAACAUGUCCCAGUUGCAGCAGAAGUUUUGGAAUUUAGUGUAGUGAUAAGUUUUCUUGUUAAUCCAGCAGCAAAAUCCUCUCCCUCCUGUGCUCUGUGACAAAGGCAGAGAAUAAAUAUUAUGGGCUGGAAGCUCAUAGGAGGCCUGGUUUUGCAGGCCCUGGUUUCAGGCCCCUAACAAGGGAUUGCUUCAAGCUGUAAAAAGUCCAAACACUCCUUGUUUAACCUCUUCCCUCUGUCAGUCUUCUGAUGCCUUCAGCUGCUGUGGAGCAAUGGAGCCAGGUGGAGAGAAAGCAAGGUUGUAGGCCUAGAGACUCCCUCCUCCCUCUUACAGGGCUUGGAGAGCAGACUAAAUGUCAGAGAAAAGCAGGAGUGUCUCUUCCUUGGGCUGUUUUUCACCCUUUUGGUAUGUACUUACCCCAAAGUUUGAUGAUUGUUAAUGUAAGUGUUCCUAUGCUGGGGGUUUUACUUUCAUAAUAGGAGGUUAAAGUUUCAGCUUCUGAUGGAUGUAGCUUUUCGUAACUAUCAAUAAAAGCAAUGACUGAAGGUGGAGUCCUUGAACUCUAAAUUGGCUAAGAUCCAACUAUUGCAUCUGCUUGCAUUGGUGUGCUACAGCUUAUAAUUAGUCUAAUCUCUGAUUACAGACAGAGAUUAGACAAGUGGUGCUGAGUCUACUGAGUCAUGUGAUAAUGGCCAUAGGGAAGAGUAUCAGUGUUUUGUUGCUAGGAUGGUGCCCCUCUUCUGGAGGAGGAAGCGUUGUCUCUUUCCUGAUGCUGACAACUUCUCAUGGCAGGACAGCCAGUCUUCCUCACUGGAGAAAUAUGUCUGUCACUGUAAAACCAGUGUGUCUCCUACUUCAUGUAACAAACAGUAUAUAAAAGACCACUCAUUUGGAUGCCAGACAAAUAUGCCAACACCUUGCAGCUGGGUUGUGAUGAGAAGGAUUGUGCUUGUUAUUUUUUUCAGACAAUGCUUGGACAGUUCUGGGUACACAAAAUGUAUGGAGUCCAUAAGACUUCUGCUCUCCUCCCUUGCUUGUGAGGAGGCUGGAUUUUGUGUUGUGAAAGAUGUGUUUUUACACUGUAAACUAGCUGUGGUGCUGCUACAUCACCAAGGCUUAGGAAAACAAGUUUAUUUUGCUCUUCUUGAUGGUGCUUAAUUGAGAGGGGCUCAUGGACCUUGUUUUUCAUUCCAAGAAAACCUGUUUCUAUUCUUAUAGUGGAAGGAACUACAUAAUGUACCUAAUGCUGAGCUAGCUGUUGUAUUGCCGGAUACUGCUUCUCAGGAAAGUCACACUAAAACUAUUAUAAGACUUGUGGCGAAGCCAGGACUUCUGCUAGAGCAGGACAGUGGACCUCCUCCACUUGUAUAACCAGUGCUUGACAGGCAACUUGUUUUCUGUGGUAUGAGUCUGGGCUGAAAUAAAUGGAAACAGUAAACUAAAAUAGACAACUCUUGGGAUGAUGUGGUGACAGUUAUGUGAAUUAGCACCUGUUGCAGUACCAAGUAAGUUUGUGGUACCUUCAUCUCUCUAGCAUUUUGCCUGGUCACACUCUUAUCCCUCUUCCUCAGUGACGGUUAUCUUGGAGGACACUGCCUCAGAGAAGAGGAGCUGCUGGCUGGUCAUGAUGCAUCGCCUGGGAUAUUUUAUUCUCUGCAGCUGAGGUUGUGGUAUAUGCUGGCUGGUUUACUAAAUGGGCUGUUCUCAGACUUUGCUAAACUUAUUAAUCACUCAUGCCUCUGUGUGAGUCACACAGCACCAGUUCUUGCGCUUCCAAAGAAGAUAAGGUUGAAGGAAGUAAAGCCCAGAGGCUGGUGUGGGAUAUGCUGAGGUGGCAGCUCCACUUCCUUGAGUGACUUGUGUCAGGUCAGAGGCUUGAUAACAGCCAAGGACAAAGAUGAGCUGUCAUCUAGUGUGCAUAUGGAAGCACUCCCACUACAGACACUAUUUGGCAUACAAGACCAGAGCUAAGCACUUCAUGUGAAAGGUAACUGCAUUGGAAGUACACUGAGAUCAUUUUGUUCAUGGUUAUUUCCUUGAUAAAACAAUCUGCAAUCUGUGACAACUCGUCCCCUUAGCAACUUUCCUUUUUUUCCCACAGCUCCUAUUGUAUGAAUAUUCUUAUUCUAUGUCCUGAUAAAAAUGUGUUAUUUUGAAACCUGCUGCUGGAAACAAAACCACAGCUAUGUCCUGCUUGUGCUUUCUAAUGACGUGGUUUGAAACCUUGUAUGUGGACACACUCGGACCUUAACUGGUACUCAGACUGUGGUCUUCCAUGAAAACACAUAGCUGUCACUUGAAGGGAGAUUAGUGAUUCAAUAAGAUGUCUUUUUAUUGUUGUUGUCACCUCA